AAACACAAGGCUUGCUCACGGAGGCAUUCCACAGGAGGUAAAUGUCUCUCUGGCCUCAUCAUUAAUUCUAGGAGUUGAUUACAUUUUCUUCUCAACCUCUUAACUCUUUUUCGUAUAUAGGUUCAAAACCUCCUGCUGGAAUAUGGAAUUGAAAUAUUCGCGGAGACGCUGGUGGAAGGUCUAUCUAGGAUAAAAAUAUGCACCAAUGAAGGACGAGCUCUCAUGUCUUUAGAUAUUCAGGUACUUUUCCUCUUUGUUUGCUUUUUUAUCCAGUGUAGUUUAUUCUACACGACAUCAAGAAUGGACACGAAAGAAUGAAAGUAUCAGUUAACAUUGACAGACAUUCUGAUAAAAAAAAUAUUAAAUACACAGAGCAUCUAGAAAGGUGGUCAUGAUAGGACAAACCUUUAUUCUUUGCUGAUGAGAUAAAAGUAAAACACAAACAAUUGAUAAAUUGCAUGACAUGUAAUUUAAACAUGCGUCUGCGUUAUAGCUAUAUUGUGCAUAGGAAUGAUUUUGGUUGACAAUAUCUAUCGUUUUGUAGGUUCUAAUAAACGGGCUACAGCACUUUCUUCAACAAAUGUGAAACCCAAGUUACAGAUAGUGGAUACAUUUAUCAAGGUAAGCAAAACACUGACUUAUAUGGAACUGCAGACUAUCGUGCUGGUGAGACACAUUUAAAACGGAAAUCAUCACUCACUUUUUGCAGGCAUACUAUCCACCAGGGAUGGAGUAUGUCCACUGGGCAAGGGCUCAUCCGGAAUAUACAAAAGGACAGGUCGUAGGACUUGUGACUUUAGUAGCCACCAUGAAAGGCUGGAAGAGGAAAACGCGGCUAGAACUUGUGGAUAAGAUUGAAGCAGCUGCUGUGUAGAGAUCUCAAUCUAGAAGCAAGCUUCUUGAACUUCCAGCAACAGCGAGUAAUAUUUACAUGUAUUGAGAGCUGUAAAUUGGAGGAAAGACCUUCUUGAUUACUGUCGUUGCUUAUGGGUUUGUGUUAAAAAUCCUCCUAAAGUUGUACAGUCCUUAAGAGAAUGUAACACAUUCCACCCCCCUCCCUGUGUAACCGAUUAUUUAGUGCAAAACUAUUUUAGCCAUUAACGAGUGGUAGGUACAAUUUUGUGAUUAUGAACACUACCAUUUUCAGUUUUUUUUUCCUUAUUUUUGUUAUCUUAUCGACUAUUUCUAUAAUAUUAUCUAAAAAGUAAAAUGUACAUGUUAAUUAUUACACAUGGGUCAAAUCAAUAAAAUAAAAGUAUUUUAAUCAAAUAUUAUUAUUUUUCAUAUGUUCUAACUAAUCAUAUUUAUUUAAAUUUUAAUUGAAAAAAUAUUUCAAAAAUAAAAAUAUCUCAAAAUAUCUAAGAAAGGUAAUCACAAUACUUUUUAGCAAUCUAAUUAUAUAUGUAAUAUUAGGUAAUUAAAAUUAAUUUAAUAAUUAAUUUUAUUUAUAAAUAUUAAUAAUUAUAGAUGAUAUAUAAUUUCUUAUUAUAGAGUUGCUAUUUUCUUUUCAAAUAACUGAGAUUCGUAAUGAGUGAUAUUUAAUAAAUAAAUUAUUAAAUUAUUUUGUAGUUGAUAACUCUAAUUUUUACUUUUGAUCAGUUUUUAUUUUUCAAAUAAUAUGAAUGAUAUUGAAGAAUGAAACUAAAAUGGUUUUACUUAGAAUGUAUUUUUUUUUCUUUGAACCAUCUUAUACUAAGCUAAAUGUUUUCUUCAAGCUUUAGAAUCCCUUGGUUAACUCAAUCACCUCAACAUUUAGCAUCACUAUUGCUUCAACAAACUUACAUUCAUUGGUGUUCGUAGUUAUUUUUUUUGGACAAGUGAUUUAGAUAGUACCUAAAUACUUAUGACAAAAUUAGUACAUAAAAAUGAUUGAAUGAGCACAAAUUAAAUGAUAAAACGAUUAAAUUACUCCAGACAUUAAAUCAUUAUCCUUUUAUCUAAACCCUAACCUCUUUUUUCCUCACUUUCAUUCUACGCUAAACCAUUUCUUCCUUAUUCACAAACCUCUAGAACGUUUGCCUUCGCUCCGGUCUAAAUAAUGGCGUCCACAAACGCACUCUCUUCCGCCUCCGUCCUCUGCUCCUCACGACAGGUGAAGGUUUUUUUUUUUAGAUCAGCCAUUUAUGUUCUCAUACUUUACUUGUGAUUUGAAUUUUUAUUUCAUACUAUAUCACUGCCCUUUUCUAUUCAGCUUCUUUAUGUUUAUGUGGUUUUUUGGGUUUAUGUAAAAAUUGUUUCUUUCUCAAUUCAGCUUCUCUUUACCCCAUUGAUUGGUAAAAAAUGGUUACUUUCUAUGGGGAAAGAGAAAAAACUUGAUAGAAGAUGAAUCUGGUUGUAAUGGGCAUUGAUUCAUUCAUUUUCUUGUGGGUGUGCAGGGAAAGCUGAGUGGUGGAAACCAACAGAAAGGUCAAAGAGUAAGCUACAGGAAAGCAAGUAGAGGUUUUAAUGUUAGAGCAAGUAUAAAGGAGAUCUCUUUCGAUCAGAGCUCAAGACCUUCUCUUCAAGCUGGUAUUGAUAAGUUUGCUGAUGAUGUUGGUCUCACUCUUGGCCCUAGAGGUAUUCGUUACAAUCUCAAUGUCCGUUGUACCAAGUUGUGUCUCUCUUUUGUCUUAACCUUGUGGUCUUUUACAAGAGAGAAAUGUUGUGUUGGA